rnacentral:lncRNA from 1 species
UUCAAAGCAACAAGCACUAAUGUUUCCAAAACAAUCACAACCUUCAGAAGGCAACAAACCCAAUACCCUUUGAACUGCUUCAAUGGAGGCAUGACUUAUACCUGCCCAAAGGAUUAUUACCCUACAAAGUUGGAGCAAGACCAAGAUUCAUCAACAGCAUCAACAUGUCCAGAGUACUUCAAAUGGAUCCAUGAAGAUCUAAAACCAUGGAAGAGAACAGGAAUCACUAGGGAAAUGAUGGAGAGGGGAAGAAAUGUUUCAUACUUUAGGCUUGUGAUUAAACAAGGAAAAGCUUAUGCAGAAAUGUAUGCGGAUUCAUAUGAGACAAGGGAUGUGUUCACAAUAUGGGGAAUUCUACAACUUCUAAGGUUGUACCCUGGAAAUGUACCUGAUUUGGAGCUAUUAUUUGAGACUGGGGAUAAGCCUGUGGUGGGUAAAGAACACUUCCAAGGAACACCACCACCUAUUUUCCAUUAUUGCGGGCAUAAAAAUGCAUAUGACAUUGUCUUUCCUGAUUGGAGCUUCUGGGGUUGGUAAAGUUUCUACAUUGAAUUACUAGUAGUUUCAAUUGAUGUUGUUAUGAUUCUCAAGUUAAUUUAGACCAAAACUUCUAUUUUUAUCUGCUUUUCUUUCAAUGGCGUGUACCAUUUCGCUCUUAUGGUCCUAAUCAAUUUUCACACUACACAUUUUAACUUACAUAAAUGAAUUAAUAACUUGUUGUGUAAGAUUGACUGAUCAUGUGGUACCUGACCAUACAAUAAUUUCUCUCAUGUUAUAAGAGAAAACAACUUUCUUGCGCAGAGAAUGAACUAAUUCUUCAUAAAUUGGAGAUGCUUGUCUCUUAAAUAGGAUUUGGGUACUUCAAGAGAUUAAUAUUUACCUUGGAUUUACACGAAAAUUGACAACUUAAAUUUUCUAUAUUCCUAAUUCUUAUGCAUUACUUAGGGCUGAGCUUGCAAUAAAGCCAUGGGAGGCAUUACUACAAAACAUAGAUGAAGGCAACAAGAAGAUCAAAUGGAAGGAUAGAUUACCCUAUGCUUUUUGGAAGGGCAACACAUGGGUGUCCCACAAAAGGAAUGAUCUCACCAAGUGCAACGCUUCAGACCAACAUGAUUCAUACGCUCAAAUACAUCCUCUGCUAAAUGUGUAAUGUUAAAUGAAAAUAUUGCCUAUAGUAUGUGAAAACCUUUGAGAUGCAUAUAAUGAAUCGUUAAUUUUUAGCACUGGGAUAAGGAAAUUGCACAAGGGUUCCAGAACACAAAGCUAGAAGACCAAUAUAUGCACAGGUAAGGAACUAUCCAAUAAAACUUUUAAGCCCUUUCUAAGUUUCUAUAACUUGGUAUUGUGAAUUUCUGCUUUGUUAUCUUUAGGUAAGUUAAUCACUAGAUUUUCUUGUGUCACUUUUCUUAUGAAAGGUACAAAAUUUAUGUGGAAGGGAUAGCAUGGUCUGUGAGUGAAAAGUAUAUAUUAGCAUGAGACUCCAUGACCUUGUUCGUAGAGCCUAUAUACUAUGAUUUCUUUACAAGAAGCUUGGUACCUAGGCAGCACUACUGGCCCAUUAGCAGUAACAACCAAAGCAUGUGCAAUGAUAUUAAGUAUGUUGUUGAAUGGGGUAAUGCCAAUCCAGACAAGGUAAAUAUAUGGACAAAAUUUAGAUACAAUUUCUUAAAUAUUUUUUGGAAUUGUUAUCCAAUCAGAAUUAGAAUGUUUUUGCAUAAUAAUAAAGGUUAGCAUUAAAAAUCCGCAUAUUGUACUUGGACAAAACUCCAAUUUUGAUUUUAGAGAAUAUUACAAAAUGAAAAAAAAACAUGAAAAAUGAUUACAUGGUCAAAUACCACCAUGACCUUACUAAUCUGUGUAAACAUAUAUAAUUGAGUUUUAUUAAUUCUUUCUCAUAAAGUAAAAAGCUCAACUACGUGUUAGGUAGAGAUUAAUUAAGACUAUGGACACAAAAAUAUCUUGGAUUAUGUAAUGAUUUUUUCUAAAGAACACAAAGCAAUAUGAGUUUUACUUUAAUGCAUCUCUGUAUUAAUUUCUUCCGCCAUUUGCUUAUGUAAAAUGUCAAUUGAGCAAAAUAAACCCUGCCCAUGGAUCAAUAAUGAAAUCAAUCCUAAAGGACCCCAUUUAUAUAUUUUGUAACUUUUCAAUUAAUUGCAACUUAGAUGGUACUUUUUAUGUCUACACCAGGCUGAAGCGAUUGGAAAAGCAGGGACAAAUUUCAUUGAAGAAAACCUAAAGAUGAAGUUUGUGUAUGAUUACAUGUUUCAUCUAUUGACUGAAUAUGCAAGGCUCUUGAGUUUUGAACCAACCAUACCUGCAGGAGCUGUUGAGAUUUGUUCUGAAAAUUUUGCCUGUCCUAAGAAUGGCCUUGGAUGGAGUAUAUGGUUGAGUCCAUGGUCAAGUCACCAAGUGAUACACAUCCAUGGAUAAUGGCUUCCCCUUAUGAUGAAA